UGCGCAGGCGGCCUGUUAAGUCAGGGGUGAAAUAUGACGGCUCAACCGUCAAACUGCUCCUGAAACUGACAGGCUUGAGUCCGGGAGAGGAAGGUGGAAUUCCAGGUGUAGCGGUGAAAUGCGUAAAUAUCUGGAGGAACACCAGUGGCGAAGGCGGCCUUCUGGCCCGGAACUGACGCUCAGGCACGAAAGCAUGGGGAGCGAACAGGAUUAGAGACCCGAGUAGUCC
rnacentral:rRNA from 1 species